UUUUUGUAGGUAUCAAGACCAACCUGUGGUCGUAAAGAUCAUGAAGCAAGACUUGGUUCAUGUGACUGCUAACAAUUUCCAAAAAGAGAUCAUGAUGCUAUCUGAAGUUCAGCAUGAUCUCAUAGUGCAGUUCAUUGGAGCAUCCGACCAUGCUCCAUUUGUUAUUUUAACCGAGAAAAUGGAAGGAGGAAAUUUGGAAAACUACCUCAAAACAUUUAGACCCAGUCAGUUGGAUCCUCGGAGAGCGCUAGAAUUGGCUCUUAAUAUGUCUUGAGGUAUGAGUUUUCUACAUGAGAGGGGAAUCAUUCACAAGGAGUUGCGACCUGAAAAUGUUUGGUUAAGCUUAGACCAUGAGAAACUCAAGUUGGAAUUUGGGGUGGCUAGAGAGGAGUCUCUCCAAGCAAAAAUUGACACUCGGAGUGCAGCAUUACCCUGGGUCGCUCGGGAGUUGCUUCAGCAGAGUGUGCAUAGUUGGGACACUGAUGUAUACAGCUUUUCGAUCUGUUUGUGGGAGGUUCUUACGAAUAAAGAACCGUUUAAGAAAGUGAAGAAGGAUUAUUUGGGGGUAUUGCAGGCUGAAUGUCCUAGUGUCAGGAAGAUACCCAAGAGGUAUCCAAAUGUGGUAAAAAGUCUGUAUUCGCAAUGCUUGAGUGUUUGGAAUCCUUCCGAAUGCCCCGACUGUUCGGAUAUCACGAAGACAUUGGCCCAAGCAUCUAAGCAUCUCUCUUCUCGUCUUGCUGAGUUCACUUCUGCAUCCAGUACCAGCUGAUGCGAGGGCAAUAAGUUUAUAAACGACAUAGAGGAUGUGUGCACAAUGGGAUCCGCGAUUUACCAGGGGAUGAUUAUAAGAAGAAGCACGUUGCUUCCACCCGAACAGGAUACUCCACGGUUAAAAGAACCUUUGCAACAUAAAAAUGUAGAAAAGGGAAAGGAGAAAGACGCAAUGUGUUUUCAGACUUGUUAGGGAUGGAAUUUGCAUUGGUGGUGUGACAAACAUCAGCAUCACACAGCAUAUUGGUUCAUAAAUUGGACGAAGACAAGAAAAUGAUCCUCGACUCUCUCAAUCUUAUGGGCACCUAUGAUGACCUCAAUGAUAGAAUUCGAUUCUCGGAGUAUAUACAAACGACUAUCUCUUUCUCCCCUUCUCUUUUUAAAUGCUCAAAGUACCCUUCUUUUUUACUUGUAACCUAUUACAUCUUUCCUUCUACUUACUUUCUUUCUUUCUUUCUGAAACUCUGGCUCGUUGUCUCCUUCGUGAGGAAGAAGGAAGAGCAGACCAGGACGUUCAAGGAAUUGGGCCUGAGGGAUGGGCUGGGGGCUGGGCUAGGCUAAGCAGUGAGAAAGGUUGAAAGGAGGUCGGUUCGAAUCCGAAUCCUACACAGCUGGUCGUCUGCGUUGUCCCCUCUGCUCUUCCUCUUCGGAGGAUUCCAAACCCUGUGAGACGACCCAGUUGUGUGGUGAAGAAAUUUAUGGGUCGAGAGCUGGUCGUCUCCGUUGUCUCCCUGCUCUUGGGUUUCGGAGGAUUCCAAACCCUCACACGUCUCUGUUUUCCCCGCUGCUCUUCCUCUUUGGAAGAUUCUAAACCCUGUGAGACCACCAGUUGUGCGGUGAAGAAAUCAAUGGGUUGAGAGCUAGUUGUGUGCGUUGUCUUCCUCUGCUCUUGCUCUUCGGAGGAUUCCAAACCCUGUGAGACGACAUAGUUGUGUGGUGAAGAAAGUUCUGGGUCGAGAGUUACUCAUAUCCGUUUUCAAACCCUGUGAGAGGUAAAAAUUUCUGGGUCGAGAGCAAGUCGUCCUUGUUGUCCCCUCUGCUCUUCCUGAGGAUUCCAAACGCUAUGAGACAACCCAGUUGUAUGGUGAAGAAAUUUCUGGGUCAGAAUCGAUUACUGCCUGGUACGAGUUUCUAUUCAUUACACUUUUUUUUUUUUUUUUAAUAUGGAUAGCAAUGCAAAGCGGUUUGAUGAAAUUAAUUUAUAAAGCUACUUUUCAUGUCUGACUUCCAAAUUAUAUUAAAUUUUGAUUAGUUGUAUGAUUUAUUGGAUUCA